AACCUCCGCAAUGUGAGAAAUCGCGACGGGGGGAUCCCAAGUGCCAUUCUUAACGGGAUGGCUUUUCAUUAGUGUAAAAAGCUUUUGGAAUAAGAGCUGGGCAAGACCGGUGCCAGCCGCCGCGGUAACACCGGCAGCUCUAGUGGUAGCAAUUUUUAUUGGGCCUAAAGCGCCCGUAGCCGGUUUAAUAAGUCUCUGGUGAAAUCCUGUAGCUUAACUGUGGGAAUUGCUGGAGAUACUAUUAGACUUGAGACCGGGAGAGGUUAGAGGUACUCCCAGGGUAGAGGUGAAAUUCUGUAAUCCUGGGAGGACCGCCUGUUGCGAAGGCGUCUAACUGGAACGGUUCUGACGGUGAGGGACGAAAGUUAGGGGCGCGAACCGGAUUAGAUACCCGGGUAGUCCUAACUGUAAACGAUGCGGACUUGGUGUUGGGGUGGCUUUGAGCUGCUCCAGUGCCGAAGGGAAGCUGUUAAGUCCGCCGCCUGGGAAGUACGGUCGCAAGACUAGAAAUUAAAGGAAGU
rnacentral:rRNA from 1 species